AAACCCGAGAAAACCGGUCCCAGUUCGGAUUGAGGUCUGCAACUCGACCUCAUGAAGUCGGAAUCGCUAGUAAUCGCAUAUCAGAACGAUGCGGUGAAUACGUUCCCGGGCCUUGUACACACCGCCCGUCACACCACGAAAGUUUGUUGUACCCGAAGUCGGUGCCUUAACCUCGCAAGAGGAGAGAGCCGCCCAAGGUAUGGCCGAUGAUUGGGGUGAAGUCGUAACAAGGUAGCCGUAGGGGAACCUGCGGCUGGAUCACCUCCUUUCUAGGAGAGAAGGGUCCUGGAUGAAGCGCUCCUAUUUAGUCUUGUGAAGGAUCCGAGUGGAAGCCGGGACCGGAGAAAGACCGGGCCUGUAGCUCAGAUGGUGAGAGCGCACGCCUGAUAAGCGUGAGGUCGAUAGUUCGAAUCUAUCCAGG
rnacentral:rRNA from 1 species